rnacentral:rRNA from 1 species
UACGUAGGGACCGAGCGUUGUCCGGAAUCAUUGGGCGUAAAGAGCGUGUAGGCGGCCACUUAAGUCCUGCGUGAAAUCCUGCGGCUCAACCGCAGGCGGUCGUGGGAAACUGGGUGGCUAGAGUGCGGGAGAGGAGAGUGGAAUUCCUGGUGUAGCGGUGGAAUGCGCAGAUAUCAGGAAGAACACCCGUGGCGAAGGCGACUUACUGGACUGUAACUGACGCUGAGGCAUGAAAGCGUGGGGAGCAAACAGG